UACGUAGGGUGCGAGCGUUGUCCGGAAUUAUUGGGCGUAAAGAGCUCGUAGGCGGUCUGUCGCGUCGGUCGUGAAAACUUGGGGCUUAACCCUGAGCUUGCGGUCGAUACGGGCAUGACUGGAGUUCGGUAAGGGAGACUGGAAUUCCUGGUGUAGCGGUGAAAUGCGCAGAUAUCAGGAGGAACACCGGUGGCGAAGGCGGGUCUCUGGGCCGAUACUGACGCUGAGGAGCGAAAGCGUGGGGAGCGAACAGG
rnacentral:rRNA from 1 species